rnacentral:piRNA from 1 species
UGGNGAAAGGCAGCCCUGGUUCCUG